rnacentral:rRNA from 1 species
AUUUGAGAAAAUUAAAAUUAUUAAAUAAAUUUUAAUUUUGGAUUAGAUAUUAAUAAUUUCUUUUAUUAAAAUUAAAAUUAUAAUUAAUUUAUUUAUAUAAAUAAUUUUUUGAAUAAAAAAAAAUUUAAAUAAUUAAAAAAAUUUAAUUAAUAAAAUUUUUUAAUUAAAUAAUUUUUUAAAAAGAAUUAGAUAUAAUAAAAAUAAAUUUUGUGCCAGCAAUUGCGGUUAAACAUAAUUUAUAAAUUAAUAAAAUUUAAUUUAAAUAAUUUAUAAGUAUUAAUAUAUAUAUAUAUAUAUAUAUUAAUUAUAAAAUAAAAAUUUUAUGGUAAAAUAUAAUUUAUUAUUAAAAAUUAAUUAUUUAUAAAUGAAAAUUUAUAAAUUAAUAUAAUAAACUAGGAUUAGAUACCCUAUUAUAAUUAAUUUAAUUAAUUAAAAUUGAUUAUUAAUUGAUAAAUCAAUAAAUUUAAAAAAUUUGGCGGUAUUUUAAUUUAUUUAGAGGAAUUUGUUUUUAAAAUGAUAAAACACGAUAAGAAUUACUUUAUUUUUAAGUUUAUAUAUUUUCGUUAUAUAAAAAAUUUUAAAAAAUUUUUUAUAAUCUUAUAUAUAUAUAUAUAUAUAUAUAUAUAUGAAAAAUUUCAGAUCAAAAUAUAGCUUUAAUAAAGAAAAAAUUAAUUACAUUAUAAAAAUAUAUUAAACGAAAUAUAAAAUUUAAUUUUUAUAUGAAGUUGAAUUUAAAAGUAAAUUUAAUUAAUUAAUUAAAGUGAUAUAAUAAUUAAAUAUGUACAUAUUGCCCGUCAUUUUCAUUUAAAGUGAAACAAGUCGUAACAAAGUAAAUUUACUGGAAAGUAUAUUUAGAAUUAA